UGAGGAAUAUUGGUCAAUGGGCGAAAGCCCGAACCAGCAACGCCGCGUGGAGGAUGAAGGUUUUCGGACUGUAAACUUCUUUUCGGGGAGACGAGAAAGGACGGUAUCCCCGGAAUAAGCCACGGCAAACUACGUGCCAGCAGCCGCGGUAAUACGUAGGUGGCGAGUGUUAUCCGGAUUCACUGGGCGUAAAGCGCUUGUAGGUGGUUCUGUAAGUUGGGUGUCAAAUCUUCGGGCUUAACUCGAAGCGCCGCUCAAUACUGCAGAACUGGAGGAUGUCAGAGGAAGAUGGAAUUCCCGGUGUAGUAGUGAAAUGCGUAGAUAUCGGGAGGAACACCCGUGGCGAAGGCGGUCUUCUGGGGCAUUCCUGACACUGAGAAGCGAAAGCCAGGGGAGCGAACGGG
rnacentral:rRNA from 1 species